rnacentral:lncRNA from 1 species
UCAGAGAGAGAGAGAAAGCCGCCGGCAAAGGAGGAAGCUGACCUCCGGUGACCGGCCUUGGGUCCAUGAAACUUCGGCGAGUCAGAUCUGUCGUGCAUAUCCCGUUUUGGUGUAACUCCUACCUAUUGCUUCACUGCUCCGGCAACUGAUGAAGGAUUACGGUGGUUUUGGUUUUGAGCUGGUGGUUGAUGAUGAUGGGUUUUUGUUGCUCGCCGAGUGAAACGGGUAGAGGUGAUUCCAACAAGUGGGAUUGUCACAAUUGAUGGGUUUUUGCAGCUGAAAGCAAUUGGGGGUAGUAAUCACCGGUAGCUGAGACGACUGCCGGCGGCAGAAACGACUCCGACAGUCGGACACUGGUCAAGAGAGGAGAGAACCCUCUCGAUUUCAACUUCAACUUCCAAGUUUGGGAUCUCUAAUCUUUUCUCAUCAAAAACUUCCGGUGAGUGAAGGUUUUUGGCAUUUUGAUUAUGAACCAUUGUUGCUGCAACUCUGCAAGGGACACUUUGGGGACACUUUGGGUCAGGUAGUCAUCUUUGGUAGUUGGAGCUUUGGUUCUUAAAGUGUAAGGCUUGAUUCACAUAGGAGAGACACUCUCAGUGCAAUUGUACAUCAAAUACAUAAUUCCAUUCUUAUUUAUGUUGAUGCGGAGGCUUAACGAUUUACGCCAUCCCGCAGGUCGGUAUUAAUUCGAGUUCAUCUACGUUUCACGUCAUGUGAGUCACUUGAUCGUUUUUCCGGUUUUGAUCAUCGUUGGGUUUCUAUUUAGCAUGUUUUUUCGCCCCCACCUCUAAUUGCACAGUUUUACGCCCCCCGCCCCGCAACGCGGGGGGCUCAAUUCUAGUUCAUAAACAUUACCCGUAGCUGAAUUCCAGAUAAAAACGCCAAUUUUCCACUUCACGAGGGUCAACCUUAUUUAUUUGCAUUCAUACCAUAGAGAGUUGCCAUAAAUGAAAAAUAUGAAAUGAAAAAUAAAAAAAAAAAAAAAACCGUCAUGGGCAUGCCUUAUUUCAUGGCUCAAGAGUUUACCAACAUAUUGUAGAAAAAAGUACAUCACAAGAUAGUUAUGUCCCAAGACCUGACCAGAUAGUGUGGUAACUGUGCAUUGCAGUAAAACAGCCAAUUAGAGACCCAAAAAGAUAUAAACUUUAAUGGAUAUUCUGAAUUACAAGAUAAACUACUAGGGAGGUUAAAUUUUCUCAUUUUGCAAAGUGAUAACACAAGGUUAACAUGAAAUUCGCUCCACCAAACGCAAGCAUCUGAUCUAUUAUCGAUUGGAGCUCAUAUCCAAUGAUGAUUCGAUAUCAAUUCACAUAAUCAGUUUCAAGCGCACAACUAAAUCUCCCCUAAUGCUAGCCUUUUGCUUUGAUAUUGGUAGAAGUACUCGUUAAAGAUAUCGCAAAUCCAACAUUUUUGGGUGUACUUCCCACACUCAGCAUUGUUACACUUUCUUAUUGAUUUACUGUUAAAAAUAUUCGUAUUUAUCCGGUAUAAACGUGCCUUUUUAUAUUUCCUUUAUUUAUUUUUAUUUAUUUCCUUUUAUUUAUUUUUAUUUAUUUUUAACCUUUUUAUUUAUCUUUGGUUGUGAGGUUUGGUCUAUCAAGUUUGG